rnacentral:rRNA from 1 species
GACGAACGCUGGCGGCGUGCCUAAUACAUGCCAGUUGAGCGCUGAAGGUUGGUACUUGUACCAACUGGAUGAGCAGCGAACGGGUGAGUAACGCGUGGGGAAUCUGCCUUUGAGCGGGGGACAACAUUUGGAAACGAAUGCUAAUACCGCAUAAAAACUUUAAACACAAGUUUUAAGUUUGAAAGAUGCAAUUGCAUCACUCAAAGAUGAUCCCGCGUUGUAUUAGCUAGUUGGUGAGGUAAAGGCUCACCAAGGCGAUGAUACAUAGCCGACCUGAGAGGGUGAUCGGCCACAUUGGGACUGAGACACGGCCCAAAGUCCUACGGGAGGCAGCAGUAGGGAAUCUUCGGCAAUGGACGAAAGUCUGACCGAGCAACGCCGCGUGAGUGAAGAAGGUUUUCGGAUCGUAAAACACUGUUGGUAGAGAAGAACGUUGGUGAGAGUGGAAAGCUCAUCAAGUGACGGUAACUACCCAGAAAGGGACGGCUAACUACG